CCUACGGGAGGCAGCAGUGAGGAAUAUUGGUCAAUGGGCGCGAGCCUGAACCAGCCAAGUAGCGUGAAGGAAGAAUGCCCCACGCGUCGUAAACUUCUUUUAUCGAGGAAUAAAGGGCGCCACGCGUGCCUUUUUGAAUGUACUCUAUGAAUAAGCAUCGGCUAACUCCGUGCCAGCAGCCGCGGUAAUACGGAGGAUGCGAGCGUUAUCCGGAUUUAUUGGGUUUAAAGGGUGCGUAGGGGGGUUGUGAAGUCAGUUGUGAAAGGUCGGGGCUCAACCGUAGAAUGGCCAUUGAUACUGGCAGCCUAGAGAAGGGGUGAGGUAGGCGGAAUGCGUGGUGUAGCGGUGAAAUGCUUAGAUAUCGCGAAGAACUCCGAUUGCGAAGGCAGCGUACUGGACUGCCACUGACGUUGAUGCACGAAAGUGUGGGUAUCAAACAGGAUUAGAUACCCUAGUAGUC
rnacentral:rRNA from 1 species